GACCACCAUCCCGCCGUCUCCCGACUCCUCUUGUGCGGCGUGACCCGUGAGCAGGGAGCACCCGCCCCAAGCGGACAAGCCGCCAGGCCGAAGCGCGGAGCACAUGCUGAGCCUUCUCCGCCGCCGCGCCGCAUCCUCGCCGGAGGCGAGCCUCCGACAGUUUCAGUGCGCUUACCAUCGAAGCAGUGAGAGAUUAUUACCUUGCAGAGACCAAGAAGUUUCAUAUGGUCUUAAUUGGGCUAUUGCUGCGAGAGGUGUUGUCGUAAAAGAUAAGGUCUUCUAUAACUUGGAGACAUCAGAGCUUCAGAAAGGUGGUGCUACAUAUGCAGAGCAUCUGUCUGGCAUUCCACUCCAUGUUAAAGGAAAUGUCAUCAGCGGGGUCCCUAAUAUUACAGGAGCUCAAUUUGCAAAACUUCUGAAACAGGUGACCUUUCACCUUUCGUCCGUCUCAAGUAUUUAUGUCCAAGAUGGUGCCAUUGGUUCAUCUGCGGAUUGUGAUGCAAAAGUCCGUGUUAUUAGUGAUAACCCAUCUGCUAUAAUGUUACUGUCCAAUGUCCUCUGGAAAAUACCAGAUCGUGCGAUUUCCCAUGACACAUGCCCUUUGACUAUAUAUGUUGCCAGUUCGAUAAGUACUAACGUCAGGAAUUCUCUGGAUUCUGGGACACAAUAUGCUAAUGGAUUUGCAGCAGCAGACAUAGAACGCUCAUCACUUAUCCUAUGUGGUAAAGCAUUUGCUGAUUCCACUAUGUUGAAAGACGCUCUUACUGCUUUGACUGUCCCUAUAUUGUCUGCAAGACGAGGCCUCCCUGUACCUGGCUGGCUUCUGUCUUUUGGCGGUUCUGUUAUAAUGUUGUUUGCUCCAGUGGAGCUCAUCAAGUCCUGCUCUGAAAUUCAGGACGUUCUUGUGUCCACUGAGAGCGGUGUAGUUAUGUUUUCUAAACAAUGUACUGUGCUUUUCCCAACAAAGUCAAGAGCACCAAAAUUGUUUAGCAAACCAGCUAGAGUGAUUGUUGCAUCAUCUGAUAGCACCGAUGCCUUACCAUUAGUAUCAAAGCUCUCUCCAGGUCAGGCAGCUUACCAUUUCUUAGCAGGAUAUCAGGAUGGCAAAUUUGUCCCAGCUUACAACAGGGGCCCUUCUCCUGUUGACCCGCUUGCCCUCGCAAAUGCCUUAUUUUUGCAUUUGAAAGAAGAUAGCACACCAACUUAUCUUAUCAAUGUCAAGAACUCUGGAAUGGAAAUUGGUGGCAAGGACUUCAUGAAACUAAUACAGCAGGCACUAUCUAACAAUAUGCCAGACAGCAAACCUGAAGAUUCUAGAGUGGCUGAACUUAAGGGGAAGUACAGGAGCUUUUUAUCGGGCAAGUUCGGCAAAUAUUUACCUGAAGAAUUCUCUUUCUGAGAGAUACAACCUAAUGAUGUGGUGUACAUUUUGUUUGCACCGAAUGAAUCUGAGAUAGGUUUGCAUGCAACUUGAACUGAGUUACUGAGAUAGGCUCUCCCUUCUCUUUCGAAGCCCCAAAUACAUGAUUAGCUUUGGUUUUCUCUUGGUGUUGGGAUGGACCUACUGUACCUUCAUAAACGCAUUAGAAGGACACAGGAGUCGCCGCCGGUCAGUGACAUGCCAUGUAGGAAUACUGAACCCUGCGGCUCUGUGUCAGGGCUUCACAUGGUUUAGGCGAGGACUGAAUGACUGAUGACGCUGAGGUCCCCUCGACCAUGAUCCACGCUUCUGUUUAUCAUAUAUAGAGCCACCUCCAUCCACAAGAGAGCAAGCAAAGCUGUAGACGCCUCUCCAGGUUCAGACUUGCAUUGCACCUGUUUAUAUCAUACAUAUACACUGAAUCGUGUUUCGACUCACGUUUUUGGCAUAUAAUGGUGAGAAAUCCAACUGACAUGGCAGUGGGCAUGGAAAUUUGCAGCCGGGAUCCUGCUGCUGUUUUGAUGAUGCAGGUAGACCCAUUUACUGUCACGUUACUGUAUUUUGAUGGUAAGAAGGUCCUUGCCUGGCGCUUUACUCAUUUGGUCCUGAUCAACUCAAUCAAAAUGCAUGGCCAAUUAAUUUGGUGGGUCUGUGUUGACCUGGAACAACAUGGACCUUUCUGUUUAAGUGUUCAUCCUUCAGAGACAGACUAGCCUAAGGUACCACUGACCUGGAGCCAAUUAAUUAAGGGUUUAUGGUGUCAUCAAAAGUUCAUCACUCGACCAUAGGACUAAUAGUAUAUCUGUAUAUUUAACCCGCUUGCUGUCUUUCCGUGUUCAUCCUUGUGAGUGACAUGAAUGAUAUAAAAUA